AGAGUUUGAUCCUGGCUCAGGACAAACGCUGGCGGCGUGCGUAACACAUGCAAGUCGGACGAGGAGGGAGCGUUCUUUCGGGAGCGGUCUUUUUCGAGUGGCGGACGGGUGCGUAACACGUGGAUAACCUGCCCUGGUGUGGGGGAUACCCUGUAGAAAUACGGGCUAAUACCGCAUGCGGUCGCUUGUGGGAGACUAGA
rnacentral:rRNA from 1 species